rnacentral:rRNA from 1 species
UACGUAGGGGGCUAGCGUUGUCCGGAAUCAUUGGGCGUAAAGAGCGCGUAGGCGGCCAGAUAAGUCCGGUGUGAAAGUCAAAGGCUCAACCUUUGAAUGCCGCUGGAAACUGUCUGGCUAGAGUCCGGGAGGGGCGAGUGGAAUUCCUGGUGUAGCGGUGAAAUGCGCAGAUAUCAGGAGGAACACCAAUGGCGAAGGCAGCUCGCUGGGACGGUACUGACGCUGAGGCGCGAAAGCGUGGGGAGCGAACAGG